rnacentral:rRNA from 1 species
AGAAUCAACGCUGGCGGCGUGCCUCAGACAUGCAAGUCGAACGCGAAAGUUUCCUUCGGGAAACAAGUAGAGUGGCGGACGGGUGAGUAACACGUGGGAACGUGCCUUUUGGUUCGGAAUAGCUCCUGGAAACGGGUGGUAAUGCCGAAUGUGCCCUUCGGGGGAAAGAUUUAUCGCCAUUAGAGCGGCCCGCGUCUGAUUAGCUAGUUGGUGAGGUAAAGGCUCACCAAGGCUACGAUCAGUAGCUGGUCUGAGAGGAUGACCAGCCACAUUGGGACUGAGACACGGCCCAAACUCCUACGGGAGGCAGCAGUGGGAAUCUUGCGCAAUGGGCGAAAGCCUGACGCAGCCAUGCCGCGUGAAUGAUGAAGGUCUUAGGAUUGUAAAAAUUCUUUCACCGGGGACGAUAAUGACGGUACCCGGAGAAGAAGCCCCGGCUAACUUCGUGCCAGCAGCCGC